GUUAAUCACAACAAUCUUUUUUGUGUUCCUUUCUGUUUUUCAGUGUUGUUUCUCGUGAAAGGUGCACUGCUUCUUGCCUUUGGAUUAAUUUCAUUCAUAUAUUGUCUGGUCAAAUGUAGAUGUGUGUGUCAGAAAGUCUUCCUUCUGCUUUGGUCCAUUCUUGAUAUUACAUUGAGCUUUGUAAUUCUGGACAUCAUUUUGGAAGACGAUAAAGAACUCCCUGCAUGGAUGUGUUUCAAUGUAUUCCUCUACGUCAUGACUGCCACAGUGGUCUUUCA